rnacentral:rRNA from 1 species
CAGUCGCCGCGGUAAUACGGAGGGUGCAAGCGUUGUCCGGAUUUAUUGGGUUUAAAGGGUGCGUAGGCGGCCUAAUAAGUCAGUGGUGAAAGCCUCCAGCUUAACUGGAGAACUGCCAUUGAUACUGUUAGGCUUGAGUAUACUUGAGGUAGGCGGAAUUGACAGUGUAGCGGUGAAAUGCAUAGAUAUUGUCAAGAACACCAAUUGCGAAGGCAGCUUACUAAAUUAUAACUGACGCUGAGGCACGAAAGUGUGGGUAUCAGACAGGAUUAGAUACCCCAGUAGUCCCUGUCUCUUAUAC